AGAGUUUGAUCAUGGCUCAGAUUGAACGCUGGCGGCAUGCUUUACACAUGCAAGUCGAACGGGGGUAGCAAUACCCUAGUGGCGAACGGGUGAGUAAUGCAUCGGAACGUGUCCCGUAGUGGGGGAUAGCCCGGCGAAAGCCGGAUUAAUACCGCAUAUGCUCUACGGAGGAAAGCAGGGGAUCGCAAGACCUUGCGCUAUGGGAGCGGCCGAUGUCCGAUUAGCUAGUUGGUGAGGUAAAGGCUUACCAAGGCGACGAUCGGUAGCUGGUCUGAGAGGAUGAUCAGCCACACUGGGACUGAGACACGGCCCAGACUCCUACGGGAGGCAGCAGUGGGGAAUUUUGGACAAUGGGGGCAACCCUGAUCCAGCCAUGCCGCGUGAGUGAAGAAGGCCUUCGGGUUGUAAAGCUCUUUCGGCCGGAGAGAAAGCCUACCCGCUAAUACCGGGUGGGGUUGACGGUACCGGCAAAAGAAGCACCGGCUAACUACGUGCCAGCAGCCGCGGUAAUACGUAGGGUGCGAGCGUUAAUCGGAAUUACUGGGCGUAAAGCGUGCGCAGGCGGCUAUUUAAGCUUGCUGUGAAAGCCCCGGGCUUAACCUGGGAACUGCAGUGAGGACUGGAUGGCUGGAGUGUGGCAGAGGGGGGUGGAAUUCCACGUGUAGCAGUGAAAUGCGUAGAGAUGUGGAGGAACACCGAUGGCGAAGGCGCCCCUGGGCUAACACUGACGCUCAGGCACGAAAGCGUGGGGAGCAGACAGGAUUAGAUACCCUAGUAGUCC
rnacentral:rRNA from 1 species